GGCAGGCCAUGGGCCGGAGGGUCCCUGGGCAUCUCUACGAGGUCUUUCCCCUGCACCCAAGAUCCAUCCGUCUAUCCAUCAUCCUUUGAUGGAUCGUCCUUCCAUCUGUCCCUCUGUCCUUUCAUCUGAUUACCUUUCCAUAUACUCAUCCCAUUCUAUCCAACCUUCUUUCUGGACAUCAUUACCUUCUGCCCCCGCUGCCCCCCCAUCCUCCGUCAGCAUUUACUGUUGCAUUCUCAAUGUCUGACACUCGUGGAGGUCCGGCACGAUUUGUUUAAGAAGUGAAUGACACGUGUCACCCAUUGUAGGACAGGCACUGUUCUAGCCACCAGGAAUACAGAAAUGAAGGAGUCCUUGCUCCAAAGAGCUCCCUGGGUGGUAUGGGAAAUAGUGCAACUGAGCAUACUUCAUUUGAAUACAGUGGGAUGAACAAGCCCCCUCUAUAAUCAAACUCUGGACCUGAAGCUGCCUGGGAUGGGGGUAGUUAAUGGGGUAAUCAGAGAAGGCUUCAUGGUGGAGGGGAUUCUUGAGUGGCAUCUUGAAGGAUGAGUAAGAGUUUGGGGAGGGGGAAGAUUCCAAGUCAACCACACUAAGUGCUAGACUGUAAACUCCCCGAGGGCAGCACUGGGUGCCCACCUGGCCCAGUGAGGCGGCUACUCCACCGUGUUGGCUAAGCCCCAACAGGGCAAUACACGGAGACUUGGGCAUAGCCUUUAAUGCCAAGCUCAGGAGUUUGGGCUUUCUUCUAAGGGAAGCUGGGAGCAGAUGGAAGGUCCCAAGCAGAGGAACAACAUGCCGGGAUAAAGAUCAUAGGAAAACAGGCUGGAGGUGAUGAAACGGGAAACUGGGGGCUCAGUUAGGGGCCUGGAGCCGUCCGGGGAAAGGCAGGAAGGAAGUGUGCCUGGGUGGGGAGUCCAUGGGCUAAACAUCUGUAAAAUGGGAUAAUCCUAGCGCUUCCACCUAGGGUUGUUGUCAGAGUAAAACUGCAAAUGAUAAUGAAUAAAAGCACUGGUAAACAUUUCUGCAGCCCUGGCGAUGUGCCAGGCCCUGUUCCAGACAGUGUCCCCAUGUAUUAAUUCAGUUAAGCUUCACAACAGCUCUAGGAGAGUGACACUAUGAUUUCCAAUUUUACAGAUGGAAAAACUGGGAUCAAGACCUGAAGUGACUUGCCCAAGGUCAGCCAUGGCAAAGCCAGGAACUGAGCCCAGGCCAACGGGAUAAGGAGGAAGACAUGGAAGAGCCGCUCACCUUCUCUCCGGCGUGGAUCUUGAAGGACACACCCCGGACGGCCAGUGGGAGCUCAGGUCCGUCCAGCUGCGAACAGCCCACUGUAGCGUCUGCGUCAUCUGGUGGGAGAAGGCACGAGAAGGCAUGUCAGGCCAGCUUCUGCAAGGCCACCCCGCAGGCUUGCCUCAGCCCCCCUGCAGACAAUCACCCA